UAGGAAUCUCACUGAGCUUCAGUCAUUCGUUGCUUUGAAAUCAAUUUAUCUUUCUGAUUAUACCAAUAGUUAUACCAAAUUGCUUUUCUUCAUGUACCCAUCUAAUCAAAAUAUUCUCCAUAUUUGUUUCAGUUGUUCCAAAAUGGAGCCUUGGAGGUCAUCGUUUCCCGAAGAUUACCCAUAUGUGGUUGCUUGGAAUAUUUCCCAAAAAGAUGGUGAAACACGCACCGCUUGUAUUCCUAUAUAAAUAUAGUUGUAGUUAAUUUGACAAUAAAACA